rnacentral:rRNA from 1 species
AUGAACGCUAGCGGCAGGCUUAACACAUGCAAGUCGAGGGGUAUAGGUAGCUUGCUACCUGGAAACCGGCAAACGGGUGCGGAACACGUACACAACCUACCUUUGUCUUGGGGAUAGCCUUCUGAAAAGGAGAUUAAUACCCAAUAGUAUAAUUGAAUGGCAUCAUUUGAUUAUUAAAGAAUUUCGGACAGAGAUGGGUGUGCGUAAGAUUAGCUAGUUGGUGAGGUAACGGCCCACCAAGGCAACGAUCUUUAGCUGAGGUGAGAGCAUGAUCAGCCACACGGGCACUGAGACACGGGCCCGACUCCUACGGGAGGCAGCAGUGAGGAAUAUUGGUCAAUGGACGCAAGUCUGAACCAGCCAUGCCGCGUGAAGGAUGAAGGCGUUCUGCGUUGUAAACGUCUUUUAUCUGGGAAGAAACCACCUUUUUCUAAGGGUGUUGACGGUACCAGAGGAAUAAGCACCGGCUAACUCCGU